AGUUUUGCAAUGCCGGGGAAUUCCAUCUUCGGCCAACAUCUGUGCUGAUAUGUUUGUAUCUCUCCUGCAGGUCCACAGUAAAGAUAAGAAGUAUGUGUGUAUCUCUCCUGCAGGUCCACAGUAAAGAUAAGAAGUAUGUGUGUAUCUCUCCUGCAGGUCCACAGUAAAGAUAAGAAGUAUGUGUGUAUCUCUCCUGCAGGUCCACAGUAAAGAUAAGAAGUAUGUGUGUAUCUCUCCUCCAGGUCCACAGUAAAGAUAAGAAGUAUGUGUGUAUCUCUCCUGCAGGUCCACAGUAAAGAUAAGAAGUAUGUGUGUAUCUCUCCUGCAGGUCCACAGUAAAGAUAAGAAGUAUGUGUGUAUCUCUCCUGCAGGUUCACAGUAAAGAUAAGAAGUAUGUGUGUAUCUCUCCUCCAGGUCCACAGUAAAGAUAAGAAGUAUGUGUGUAUCUCUCCUCCAGGUUCACAGUAAAGAUAAGAAGUAUGUGUGUAUCUCUCCUCCAGGUCCACAGUAAAGAUAAGAAGUAUGUGUGUAUCUCUCCUCCAGGUCCACAGUAAAGAUAAGAAGUAUGUGUGUAUCUCUCCUCCAGGUCCACAGUAAAGAUAAGAAGUAUGUGUGUAUCUCUCCUGCAGGUUCACAGUAAAGAUAAGAAGUAUGUGUGUAUCUCUCCUCCAGGUCCACAGUAAAGAUAAGAAGUAUGUGUGUAUCUCUCCUCCAGGUCCACAGUAAAGAUAAGAAGUAUGUGUGUAUCUCUCCUCCAGGUCCACAGUAAAGAUAAGAAGUAUGUGUGUAUCUCUCCUCCAGGUCCACAGUAAAGAUAAGAAGUAUGUGUGUAUCUCUCCUCCAGGUCCACAGUAAAGAUAAGAAGUAUGUGUGUAUCUCUCCUGCAGGUCCACAGUAAAGAUAAGAAGUAUGUGUGUAUCUCUCCUCCAGGUCCACAGUAAAGAUAAGAAGUAUGUGUGUAUCUCUCCUGCAGGUCCACAGUAAAGAUAAGAAGUAUGUGUGUAUCUCUCCUGCAGGUCCACAGUAAAGAU